UACGGGGGGGGCAAGCGUUGUUCGGAAUUACUGGGCGUAAAGGGCGCGUAGGCGGCCUUCUAAGUCAGACGUGAAAUCCCUCGGCUCAACCGAGGAACUGCGUCUGAUACUGGAAGGCUUGAAUCCGGGAGAGGGAUGUGGAAUUCCAGGUGUAGCGGUGAAAUGCGUAGAUAUCGGAAGGAACAUCAGUGGCGAAGGCGACUUCCUGGACCAAUACUGACGCUCAGGUGCGAAAGCGUGGGGAGCAAACAGG
rnacentral:rRNA from 1 species